GACGAACGCUGGCGGCGUGCCUAACACAUGCAAGUCGAGCGGGGUUGAAGCGAGGGGUAACUCGAGUUUCUACCUAGCGGCGGACGGGUGAGUAACGCGUGGGCAACCUGCCUCAAGGACUGGGAUAACAGCUCGAAAGGGCUGCUAAUACCGGAUAAGCCCAUGGCCUCGCAUGGGGCCAUGAGCAAAGGGGAAACCCGCCUUGAGAUGGGCCCGCGUCCCAUCAGCUAGUUGGUGAGGUGAAGGCUCACCAAGGCGACGACGGGUAGCCGGCCUGAGAGGGUGACCGGCCACACUGGGACUGAGACACGGCCCAGACUCCUACGGGGGGCAGCAGUGGGGAAUCUUGCACAAUGGGCGAAAGCCUGAUGCAGCGACGCCGCGUGAGCGAAGAAGGCCUUCGGGUUGUAAAGCUCUGUCUGGAGGGACGAAGGAAGUGACGGUACCUCCGGAGGAAGCCACGGCUAACUACGUG
rnacentral:rRNA from 1 species